AUCCGGCUGAGGAGUCCCAAAUAGGACGAACCGUGCGCCCUGGAU
rnacentral:hammerhead_ribozyme from 1 species